GGCUCGAUGGCGGAGGUCCGCGGCUGCGUUAAUUUGAUGGGCGUAGUGUAUAAGGAAUGCAAGAGUCGCCCGUUCGAUUCGGGCUCGAGCCA